rnacentral:lncRNA from 1 species
GACCAUAUAAAUUCUUAGUAGUACACGGAUUCUUGGCUUGUAAAGGAAUAUCUGUUUUAACUUAAUUCGUACGCGGCUUGGAAAAUAUUUGGAAUUUAGUAUUAGUUUUAUAAUUCUAUUGUAAUUAGAAUUUCUUUUCCAAAUUGACUUCUAUUAGGGUUAUAGUUUAUAAAUUCCUAUUAGGAUUUGGAUUGUUUUGAGUAGUAUAAAUAGAGGUCCAAGUUGAUGUAAUCAAACACAUUAUACAUUAUUCAUUAUUCAAUAAACUUGUGAGGUUAUUCUCUACUUUUGGUUCUUUGAAGAAUUCCUAAGAAAAUAGUAUUUUCUUAAUUAUUCUUUGAGAUUCAAUUUGACUUAUCAUACAACAAUUCAUAGUUGUGUGUGGCGUCUUCUACCGCAUCAAUCGUCGAUUGUACCGAGAUUACCGCUUCAAUAUAAGCGAGGGGUCAAGGUGUCGUUGGUGUCCAUUCAACGCAAAUUUCGAACACGGGAAAUUGUACCAAGAUUACCGUCUAAAGUAUACACGAGAGGUUAAGGUGUUGCAAGCAAUUCGCCCAAUAACUGUGUUAGAAACGAUCCGGACGACGACCACCUCACGCAAACAUGCCGUGGAGUCUAUCAUUUGGUAUCAAAGCCAAGUUUUUCUAGCGAGUUACUUAUCUUUAAUUUUCAGUCGAAAUAUAUAUUGUAAAAAAAAAAAAAAAACAAAAAAGACAAAAAAAAAAAGAAACAAAAAAUCAGAUUUUAUUUUCCAUUGUGCGAACCAAAUUUGUAGCACACCAUCAAAUCAUCAAAUUCCAACCAAGAGUUCAUACCGUUCCAUCAUCAUCGAUUCUGAAACGGAGCUACAAUUUACAAAUCUAAGGCAUACAAGAGGAGUACAAGGCAAUCGAUCGGUGAUUUUGUGGCAUUCUGAUAGUCACAACAUCUAUAAUUUUGUUCCGUGAUAAGUAAUUUUUGAAUUGAUUAGUAAAACCAAGAAUUUUGCUAGGGGAAUUCAAGAAGAACCUAUUAGAGAGAAUAUUGAGGUAAAAGGCUUAGUGGUGAGAUUAAUCGAGGGUAAAAGCCAAUUGAGUGAUACACGAGAGAUUCAUUAUUAUUUGAGUGAAACACGUAAGGGAGUGUGUGAGGAAAUUGUUUUUAUCUCCUAACCCUUGUUUUGUAGUAAAUAUGUUGGGCUAUGAAGAGCCAUUGAAAAGAAGACCCAGAGUUCGUAUGAAGUCUAGCGUGGAUGAGUGGUGGAGAUCAUGGAAGGAGGAUUAUGAGAGGCAUCACAAUUAUCAUCGACGUAGGAAGCAGCCUCAUAAACCUAUGGAGCAUAGGAGGGAACAUUUAUUGUCUAGGGAAAUAAAAGUUGAAGAAGAUCAUGCGAUUCUUGGAGAGUCAUGGGAGACUAGAAAAGCUACAAGUGUGCAAGCUAACGAGGAAGAAACAAUGCAACAAAAGAAUAUGGUUUAUACUAGGUUUCUAGUACAAGAAAAGGUAUGCAUUGUAAAAAUUGAUUGUGAUAUUAGUACUAACAUUGCUAGCACUACAAUGGUGGAGAAACUAGGGUUGUCAACAGUUGCACACCCUCGGCCUUAUAAGAUGCAAGGGAUCGUCGAUUGUGAGGAGGCAAUGGUGACUAGACGAGUGUCAGUUUCUUUUCGUAUUGACAAAUAUGAAGAUGAAAUAUUAUGCGAUGUAGUUCCAAUCCAUACUUGUCAUUUGUUACUUGAGAGGCCAUGGCGACACAACAGGUGCGCGAAGCAUAACAGUUGUACUAAUAAAUAUUCAUUGGUACACAAUUGAAUAAGAGUCAACCUUUGUCCUAUGACGUCCGAGCAAGUUCGUGACGAUCUAAUGUAUUUACAAAAAUAUCGUGAUCAAAUGCAAGAAGAAAUUAUAGAAUAUGCAGUCCAAAGAGAGUUAUUAGGUUUGAGUGUUCAAGAUGAAAUCCAUGAUCUAAAACAAGAUGGUGAACAUUUGAAAGAAAGUAAUCAAGGAGAUGAAUUUGUAAAAGGAAAUACAUGUGGAAAAGAUCGACAAAAAGAAAUUGUUCAAAAGAUUGAUAAUGUAAAAGAAAAAAUUGAAAAUAGUGAGAAUGAAAGGAAAAGAGAGUUUGAGAAAAAAGAGAAUGAAAAGAGUGAGCUUGAAAAUAAACGAGAGAAAAAUAAACAAGAGAGUGAGCAUAAAGAAGAGAGAAGAAAUAUGUGACUAUGAAAAAGAGAGUGAGUUGAAAAGUGAGUUAUAUUUUGAAAAGCCAAUUAUUGUACAUUCGUACAAGACGGCGCUUUUGAGUACUAACACUAAUAAUUCUUCUUUGUCUAGUUUUGUUUUGUCUCUUGUACAGGUUGUUGAUGAAAUACCUUGUGCUAUCAUUCCGUAUCGAUCAUCUGAUAGUAUUUCCGAGGAGACGACGGAGUUACCAAGGCGGGUUGGAGAAUUGGUGAAAGUGGGUAUCGUGACAGAAGCAUGAGUUCAUGUGAUGAUUAUGAGAUUAUAGUACCUAAGGAGGAUGGGACAACGAGUUUGUUCGUCGAUUUUGAAUUGGUAAACAAGUAUCGUUAUUCUUUUUCUUGUUUGGAUAAUAUGCUUGAUAGAUUACAUAGUACUUGUGUUUUAUCUACACUUGAAGAUGAUCAUGUGAUGACAAUACCUAAUCAAAUUAGUGUGCAUAACUGUGAUAAAUGGAAAAUCGUUUUAACAUGUGAGUUGUUUAGAUGGAUAGUUAUUUAUGUUAGAUUAACUGAUGCAUCUAGUGUUUUCAUGAGUUAUUUAAAACAUGUUUUGCAUGCUUCCAUUGAAUUUGUUAUUAGCUAUUUUGAGGGUAAAAUCGUCUUUAUCAUAAACUAUGGAGGAUAUUUGAUUUUUGUUGAGUUAGUUUAUGAUCAUGAUAUAUAUUCUCGUUUUUGAUGUGCUUACUUGCAUGAAAUUAAUUCUAGGUUUUCUUAUUCAAAUAUUGACCAAGGGUUUCAUGCUAGUCAAUCUUUACAUGAAUUAUCGUUAGUUGACAAUGGUAGUAAUCAUGUUGUUUCGUUAGAGCAAUCUUCAUUGCAUGAUUUGCUAUCAUAUGGUUUUGAUUCAAGGAGUGUUUAUCAUCAAGAUGGUUUGAGAGAUGAGUUAUUUGCAUGUUUAGUUAGUUCACUUGGAUUAGCCAAGGCAUUGCAUACUUCCAUGGAAUUGUUGAAUUAUAUUUUUCAUUCUUUCAUGGAAAAAUUUGUAAUUCUCUAUUUUGAUGAUAUUCCGAUUUUUGUCAACACUUUGGGAAAUUCUUUAGCAUGUGUUGAGUUUGUUUGUGAUCAUCGUCGAUAUACUAUUGAAUUUUCAACUUAUGAUUGUGACCUUUUUAUUCCGUUGGUGCUAUUAUGUGAUUUUGAUUGUGUUAAUGUCAAUGGAAGGAGAAAGGUUGGUUAUGUUUUGCAGAUUCGUGAUAGGAUCAUAUUCAUCGAGGGAAACAUGGAUCAUGCAAUUCAAUUCGAUCAAUGCAUUGAGAGUUUACAGGGAAGUGUUUUGAAUAUUGUUUUAGUAGACUAUGCAUAUGAUUUUGAUUUCUUUGUGAUUAGACUAAAAGAACUUGUUGAUUUGUUUUGUGUUUAAUCCAGGAAUUCAAGAGAGUUUGUGUGAGAAGCAUGGCGAAUUUCAAGUAUUGAUAUUUGAUCUAGGAGAAUUGACAAAUGUGUUUCUGCGAAGGAUCGAGAUCUUUAGAUUGACUUUUGAUCUGGGGAUUCGUCAUUGGGAGAAUCUAUCACAUGAAGAGUUUUUCAUUUUGAUAUUUGAUCCAGGAGGAGUUGGAACUUUUCAAAUUCUUGCUUUCGUUGCUAUAUUACUUAUUCAUUUAAAUUGCCAGAUAAGACUUGUGGUUAUAUUUUUUUGGUGUUACUAACUUGGUUUGUUUUUAAUGUAGGAUCAGAUUUUUGGACAAAUCCUUUUCAAGAGGUGCAAAUGCCAGAUUUGAGUACAAAUCCUUUUGAAGAGGAGAGGAAUGAUGACAGACUGAUCGGGUUAGAAUUUUUCGUCAAUUUAUCGACUCGGACGUCAAAUGUUCAACAAAUAAUUUCAAAUAAUUGGGCUGAAGAUUAUCCAAGGAAAUCCAAUUGUGUGGGCAUUAAAACUAAAUUCGGUAAUUGUAUGGAAAUAGAGGUUUAAUUCAAGCAUGUGGGAUUAAUUGCAUAAAAAGGAAGGCUGAAAUUGUUUAUUUAUGCAACUAACGUGGGACAUGCAAAGGAACAUUAAGUUAUUUUGCAAAGUGGGCCUUCUAAAAUAGUAAUCCAGCAAGCAAAGCACUUAAGAUUCAUGAAGCAAUGCAAGGAUUCCAAAUUCAGGUCCAAUAAGUGAUCUGAUUUGCAUGGUCAGCAUAUUGUUUUGUGGGCCACGUUUUACAAUCAUCAAGCUGGACCAUAUAAAUUCUUAGUAGUACACGGAUUCUUGGCUUGUAAAGGAAUAUCUGUUUUAACAUAAUUCGUACGCGGCUUGGAAAAUAUUUGGAAUUUAGAAUUAGUUUUAUAAUUAUAUUGUAAUUAGGAUUUCUUUUUUUAAUUAGAAUUCUUUUUCAAAUUGACUUCUAUUAGGGUUAUAGUUUAUAAAUUCCUAUUAGGAUUUGGAUUGUUUUGAAUAAUAUAAAUAGAGGUCCAAGUUGAUGUAAUCAAACACAUUAUACAUUAUUCAUUAUUCAAUAAACUUGUGAGGUUAUUCUCUACUUUUGGUUCUUUGAAGAAUUCCUAAGAAAAUAGUAUUUUCUUAGUUAUUUCUUUGAGAUUCAAUUUGACUUAUCAUACAACAAUUCAUAGUUGUGUGUGCCGUCUUCUACCGCAUCAAUCGUCGAUUGUACCGAGAUUACCGCUUCAAUAUAAG